rnacentral:misc_RNA from 1 species
UUUCCGUAGGUGAACCUGCGGAAGGAUCAUUAUUGGAUUUUGAAACUUCAGGCUGCUGCUGGCUCUCCUCGGAGGGCAUGUGCACGCUUGUUGUCCAUUAUUUCUCCCACUGUGCACAAAUUGUAGACCUUUCAGUAGGCCUAUGUUGUUUUUCACAAUCUCUGGAUGUAAUAGAAUGGUUUUGAAUCUUGGGAAAUACAAUACAACUUUCAGCAACGGAUCUCUUGGCUCUCGCACCGAUGAAGAACGCAGC